rnacentral:rRNA from 1 species
UACGUAGGGGGCAAGCGUUGUCCGGAAUUAUUGGGCGUAAAGAGCGCGUAGGCGGUCCGGUAAGUCGGCUGUGAAAGUCAAGGGCUCAACCCUUGAAAGCCGGCCGAUACUGUCGGACUAGAGUCCGGAAGAGGCGAGUGGAAUCCCGGUGUAGCGGUGAAAUGCGCAGAUAUCGGGAGGAACACCAAUGGCGAAGGCAGCUCGCUGGGACGGUACUGACGCUGA